rnacentral:rRNA from 1 species
GAUCUCGAUUCCUCGGAGCACAUUGCAAUUGCCAAUGGAGGAAACUCUGAUGCAGCAACGCCCUGUGGAGGAUGACGCAUUUCGGUGUGUAAACUCCCUUUAUAGGGGAAGAUAAUGACGGUACCCUAUGAAUAAGCACCGGCUAACUCCGUGCCAGCAGCCGCGGUAAUACGGAGGGUGCCAAGCGUUACUCGGAAUCACCUGGGCGUAAAGGAUGCGUAGGCUGGAAAUCAAGUCGAAAGUGAAAUCCAACGGCUCCAACCGUUGAACUGCUUUCGAAACUGGUUACCUAGAAUAUGGGAGAGGUAGAUGGAAUUAGUGGUGUAGGGGUAAAAUCCGUAGAUAUCACUAGGAAUACCGAUUGCGAAGGCGAUUUACUGGAACCAUUAUUGACGCUGAGGCAUGAAAGCGUGGGGAGCAAACCAGGAUUAGAUACCCUGGUAGUCCACGCCCUAAACGAUGCACACUAGUUGUUGCGAUGCUAGUCAUUGCAGUAAUGCACUUAACAGAUUAAGUGUGCCGCCUGGGGAGUACGGUCGCAAGAUUAAAACUCAAAGGAAUAGACGGGGACCCGCACAAGCGGUGGAGCAUGUGGUUUAAUUGGAAGAUACACGGAGAACCUUACCUGGGCUUGAUAUCCUAAGAAUCCUGUAGAGAUACGGGAGUGCUAGUUUACUAGAACUUAGAGACAGGUGCUGCACGGCUGUCGUCAGCUCGUGUCGUGAGAUGUUGGGUUAAGUCCCCCAACGAGCGCAACCCUCGUGAUUAGUUGCUAACAGUUCGGCUGAGCACUCUAAUCAGACUGCCUUCGUAAGGAGGAGGAAGGUGAGGACGACGUCAAGUCAUCAUGGCCCUUAUGCCCAGGGCUACACACGUGCUACAAUGGCUAGGACAAAGAGACGCGAUACUGCGAAGUGGAGCAAAUCUUAAAACCUAGUCUCAGUUCGGAUUGGAGUCUGCAACUCGACUCCAUGAAGCUGGAAUCGCUAGUAAUCGUAGAUCAGAUAUGCUACGGUGAAUACGCUCCCGGGCCUUGUACACACCGCCAUCCAUACUUUUUA